rnacentral:pre_miRNA from 6 species
ACAGAGUGCGAUGUGUGCAUUGCAUUGCGACGGGUUACAUCACUGGUCGUAACAUGAUGUAACCCAACGCAGCAUGAUGUAAGCGUCGUGAUACAUUGG